rnacentral:misc_RNA from 1 species
CGGGCUGAAAAACCGAACUGCCAAACAAGUGCAUUCAAAAGAAAAAUUAAGAAAAAAAAGGCAGACGUGAGAAAUCCAAGUUUUAUGAAAUCAAUGAGAUGCCCAAGUCAGACUUUCUGCCAAAUCGGUUAACAGUAGGACAUGGAUUCCUAAGAUAAUCUCUCCUCCGUCCCUCUUUGUCUCUCUCUCUUUUUGUCUGUGUGAUAAGAUGCUGAAGCUAUGGAAAUGGUACCAGCACUGCCUAUCUGUUCAUCCAGUGAAGACCCAAAUCAUUAGCUCAGGGAUUCUCUGGGGCAUUGGUGAUAUUGGUGCUCAAUACAUCACUCACUCAACCGCACUCAGCAGUCUCAACAAUUCUGUAAGUUCACUAUCCUUCAGUUACCUUUAAUACAUUGUUCUCUGUGUUGGGCAUCCUCGAUUUUCUUGAUUUAUUUGAAACUCGUGUUUUUAUAUUUUGCCCCGUCCUUUUCCAUGGGCUUCUUGCAACCCACGUAUUUUGAUUAUAUUCCUAUGAGAGUUUGGACCAAUUUUAUUGCUUUUUAAUUUUCCUUCUUCAUUUAGAUGUGCUUGCUCUAUAUAUAAAGUGCUACUGUUUGGAUAUUAUUAUUGAACUUUUAGUUAGCUUGCUCUUUCAAUUGCCUGGAAAGUUUCCUUCUUUAUUGGGAAUCUUAUGCUGAUUCCUUGUUCUUCAGAUGCUGUUGGUUUUUGGUGUAUUUGGGCACCAAUGCUUUCCAUUGAGUAGUUUUAUCACUUGUGAAUUGAACGUCAUUGCCUAUUUCUGUAAUGAUGCUUUCCAUUGACUGAUUCCUACUGCACCUAAUGAUGCUUCAUAUUUCUAUAAUGGCCGCACUCUACAUAUCCAUAAUUUGGAAAUAAGACAAACACAGGACAGGGGCACCAUCAUCAUCACUGAUGCUAUGGGAGCUGAUGGUGUGAAGAAGAGAUGAUGUUUUUCUAAUUACCAGAUUUAGCAAUAGUGACUCCCUUUUCCUCAGCAUCAUUGAUGAUUGUAAUUUGAGAUUGUGGCGAUUAUGUUAAUGGGGGCAACCCAAUUCAAUACAUGUAACUGUGCAUCGGUUUUUCAAUGAAAAUUGAAAAAAGAAAAACAGCAACAUUUUUAUUAUGGUCCUUUUUGUUGUCCCCUUGUUGGUUUUUCUUGUUUCCUGCAAUCAGGACCAACACAACAUGUUGAGUGUGCAUCUCUAUUACCAUUACUGGAAUUCAUGGUUUUAUGGUCACAAUGAACUCAGUGAAGUUCAUAUGCAUUUUUGCAUAGUUUACUUGAUAGUUAAGGGCACAUCUCUAUUGUCUGCAGGAAAUAGAUUUGAGUUUCAAUAUCAUUUUCAAGAUAUAUCUUGACUUGAAACUAACUCCAAGAGAGUGCAUCUUCUUGUGGCCUAAUUCUUUGGAUGAAAUCAAUCUAGUAAAUUUGGAAUGGCGUCAAGAGAAAUAAUUAGAGUGUAGAUCUGCCGUAGCAAUGGCAGUUUUUGUUGCAAGCUUAUUGCCUUUGAUUCUACCCUGCUUUCUAUACUUAAUGAUGUCAUUGGCCUUUCACUCCUAAUAAAUAGCAAUGAAGUUGACACUAAACACAGUUCUUAUAUAAUAACUCCUUGAUUAUGGAUCAAAAACUGAAGAUAUGUCUGAUCUUCAUGGCAGACCUUGAGUCUGAAUUCUAAAAUGUUGGAAAGGGAUCCAUGUAAAAUUUGAUGUCAGUUGAUUCUUGGAUGGAAAAAUGCAUUGCUUCUGCUUAAUAUUAAUAAGAACAGGAAAAUAAGGUAAUCUAACCUUAAAUGCCCUAUGAAUUUUUAUAAAACUGGAUAUAUCUUGUAGGAAAGGGAUUUUUGAGAAUAGAUUGACUAUUCUUGGUCCUAUUCCAUUUAGCAUCCCCUUUCUGUGCUUGUGGCCGCAAUUAUUCAAGGAAUAGUUCCCUGUUCAUUUCAAUUGCUAACUUCUUCUGAUCUAUUAUCUUCUGGUUUGGCAACAUAAGUCAGCUGUCAAUCACGCCAUUAUGGAAGAGGAAAAAAAAAAGGAUGUGUCAGAGAUCUAGUAACAGGAUCAAUUUUACUCAAAAUCCAGAUCAAAACCUUUGCAUCAUGAUCAACACAUAAUGAUCAAUCUCAUCAUAAGAUUGCAUAUCAAUAUUUAGAAUUUCAGUGGAUUAAAUUAAAAUGUUGGUGUAGGGGGACGCUAAUUAAUAUUUGGUUCACUUCAUUUUAUAUUAGUUUUUUUUCCUUUUAUUUAACACCGACUUUUUCUUUAAAUUGAUGCUGUCAUAGAACCCACUCUUUGGCUUGUCAUGCUUUGAACAUAACUAAAUUUUUUUUUUUUGUGUAUUGACCAGUUCCUCUGAACUAGCAAUUUUAUUAUCUGUUUGUCAUGAAGCAGGAUGUAGAAGCAGAAUUCAAAGUCAAUUGGAAACGUGUAGCUAUCACUAGUCUGUUUGGCUUUGGCUUUGUUGGUCCAGUUGGCCACUUUUGGUUUGUGUUUUCCCUUUUUUUAAAGGUCAUUUCAUCUGAUUUUGUUUGCUACUGCAUAUGCAGCUACUAAAGGCGGUAUUCUUUUGGGGAAAAUAUGGUUUGACAUUAUUGAAUCAAAUCAAUUUAUUGCUUGGAAAUGGUAUUUUGAGUUCUGGCUAUGAAGCCGUUGUCACCUUAUUGCGAGGAGAGAGUACCCAUUUCUGAUUCUAGAUAUAACAGAUCAGAAAUGGAAACUUGAAUGUAUAUGAAUUUCACCAGUAGUGAUUUCAAACAUCUAAAUUUGUGAGAAGCAUUUCAUUUUUCGCCAUUUCUUUUCCAUGCAAUGUUAGAGGUGGAAAUAUUUCCUCAUUUUGUUGACAUGAAACCAUGCAUAUGGUAUGCCAUAAAUUGCCUUGCAUUAAUAUAUAGACUGCAUUUAUUUAAUAUUGGAUGUGUGCAGUUUGGUAUGGCCUUAUAUUAUACAUGAAGUUCAAGAUUUAGAUUGAGUACUCCUAGAGGGCCGGUGAUUAAAAUGUAUCAAGGAACUGAAACUAAGAAGGACAAAGAGUUUAGUAUGCAGAGUAAAAUACUGACAUCAGAAUUGAGAUGCUAGUGUUUGAAUCGCGAAGAAUUCAUGCACAAGCAAGUACUAGAGGAUCAAGGCUUUUGUCUUAGCAUAUGAACUUUUUCUCUCACAGGUAUGAAGGCUUGGAUAGGCUUAUAAGGAUGAGGCUUCAACUGCAACCAAAGUCUGUGCGAUUUGUUGCUACCAAAGUGGCAGCUGAUGGCAUAAUCUUUGGCCCCUUUGAUUUGUUUGUGUUCUUCACUUACAUGGGGUUUUCCACUGGCAAGAGUGUGCCUCAAGUGAAGGAAGAUUUGAAGAGGGAUUUCCUUCCUGCCUUGAUUUUGGAGGGUGGUGUAUGGCCAAUAGUUCAGAUUGCAAAUUUCCGGUAUGUGCCAGUGAGGUACCAACUCCUCUAUGUCAAUAUGUUCUGCUUGUUAGACAGUGCUUUCUUGUCAUGGAUCGAGCAACAAAAAGAUGCCCCUUGGAAGCAGUGGUUCACGUCAUUUCGGCCUUUGAAGGAACGAGAAGGUCAGGGCAGAUUAUGAAUACCUUCUCAACCUGUUGUAUCUUCUUUCCCUUCUGAGUUUAUAUUGACAAGUUCACAACAAAUAUUUGUGACACCAACACCGAAAGAAUUACAAACAACUGAAGUGCCAACAGCAGUUUUAGAAAUUUGGAUUUGGGAAUGAAUUAAUUGCUUUCUAAUUGUGAAGUGUUGGACUUAAUUUAGCCCCACAAGUCCUUAAUGAAAUGGAAAACACGGUCAUGCCCUUUAUUUGUUGGGGGCAUUUUGUUACAUCUUUGAAACUAUCCUAAGCAUUAUGCGAUAGGUUUACAAUAUUUUUGUGUUGAAUUUUGAAUAAAUGAAGUAUAAUUAACCAUAUUUCUGAAAUGCAAAAUCUU